ensembl:lncRNA
GAGAAGGUCUGUAUGGAGGAGUGGGCUAAAAUCCCUGCUGCAGUGUGUGCAAACCUGGUCAAGAUCUACAGGAAACCUAUGAUCUCUGUAAUUGCAAACAAAAGUUUCUAUACCAAAUAUGAAGUUUUCUGAUGUAUCAAAUACUUAUGUCAUGCAAUAAAAUGCAAAUUAAUUACUUAAAAAUCAUACAAUGUGAUUUCCGGGAUUCUUGUUUUAGAUUCCGUCACUCACAGUUGAAGUGUACCUAUGAUAAAAAUGACAGAUUUCUACAUGCUUUGUAAGUGGGAAAACCUGCAAAAUCGGCAGUGUAUCAAAUAUUUGUUCUCCCCACUGUAAGUACAGAGACCAACAGAGUAGUGUUAUAACACUUGUUCUGAUUACAUAUUAUGGCUUCUAGCUCUUUUUACUUCUCCUUGUCAGCUGGCAGAAUAUUAUCUCUAAUGCUAUGAGAUACAUACAAAACAAGUCGUCAUACUAAUAGGAAAACAAGAUAGAGCCCUAUACUGCCAUGGCAACCAUAGUUCUAGGUCAUAGUUACCAGACCUCCUGAUCUGAGCUACCCCUAGUGUCCUACACAAAAAGAAGAAUACAGAGGAGACACAGGCAGCUUUACCUUGGUGCCAACUGAACAGGGUCGUUGGUAAGAUAGGGUUGAGGCUUGGCGCCUCGGAUGUGGCCCUAAUCACUUCUAAGAACAGGGCAGGCUGACCUAGGUCCUCUUCUAUAUGUGGCAACCAUGAACAGUCUAAAGCAAUUUCAGGCCUAGUCUAAAACAGUUAAUUUAUUACAGUUAAUUUAGAGAAUAAAGGAUAGAAUAAGAAUAGGGUAAUAAAUUGAUCCUUAACAAUUGGUAUGCAAGUCAUGUACGAUGCCAAAUUCAAACAAAACCAGUGUUGAUCCAUGUUUUAUUCUAUUCCUCUAAUGCACAUCUUCUCCGCCUCUUCUUGACAGUAUGAACUUGGGAGAUAAACAUCAUGUGACUGCUGCCAUGGAAGUCCAGCAAAGAAGGACCCCAGACAGAAUCAGGAACCUGAUAGAUGGAAAUAUAUUCAAAUCAGCAAUACAUCUAAAAAAGUGGCCAUUGCUCUGGAGACUCUUCUUCCCGAGUGGAAUCCAAAGGAAGGUCUCAGAGAGUUAUAGUGACACUGGCGUCUCUAUGGGCUCUACUGUUGUUCCUGGCUACUGC